rnacentral:rRNA from 1 species
GUGGGGAAUAUUGGACAAUGGGCGAAAGCCUGAUCCAGCCAUGCCGCGUGAGUGAUGAAGGCCUUAGGGUUGUAAAGCUCUUUUGUCCGGGAAGAUAAUGACUGUACCGGAAGAAUAAGCCCCGGCUAACUUCGUGCCAGCAGCCGCGGUAAUACGAAGGGGGCUAGCGUUGCUCGGAAUCACUGGGCGUAAAGGGCGCGUAGGCGGACUUUUAAGUCGGAGGUGAAAGCCCGGGGCUCAACCCUGGAAUUGCCUUCGAUACUGGGAGUCUUGAGUUCGGAAGAGGUUGGUGGAACUGCGAGUGUAGAGGUGAAAUUCGUAGAUAUUCGCAAGAACACCGGUGGCGAAGGCGGCCAACUGGUCCGAAACUGACGCUGAGGCGCGAAAGCGUGGGGAGCAAACAGGAUUAGAAACCCCAGUAGUCC